AGCGAACGCUGGCGGCAGGCUUAACACAUGCAAGUCGAACGGGUACCUUCGGGUGCUAGUGGCAGACGGGUGAGUAACACGUGGGAACGUACCUUUCGGUUCGGAAUAAUACAGGGAAAACUUUGUACUAAUACCGGAUACGCCCUUCGGGGGAAAGAUUUAUCGCCGAUAGAUCGGCCCGCGUCUGAUUAGCUAGUUGGUGAGGUAAUGGCUCACCAAGGCGACGAUCAGUAGCUGGUCUGAGAGGAUGAUCAGCCACACUGGGACUGAGACACGGCCCAGACUCCUACGGGAGGCAGCAGUGGGAAUAUUGGACAAUGGGCGAAAGCCUGAUCC
rnacentral:rRNA from 1 species